AAAAUGACUAGCCAAUUUAAUAUUGCAACUCAACUACUUAUAUUUAACCUUUUAUUCUUGUUUACUCACAAUGUGGGACUUAGAUUCCCAACAUGCUAUAUGGUCAAUAAUUCACUUAUUAUUUCCAUAUACUAUUGUUUAAACCAAUGUUAAUGUUAGUUUAUUUGUAUCAAAAGAGUAGUCACAUUGCAAAAAACAGCCAUUGUUCUCUAUCAUUGAAUCAUGUAAAAUAUAUAUUUUCCAUGUAAAUAGGUUAUUUGAGAAAUCUACAGUAGGAGCUCUGAGAUUUUUCUUAACAGAUAACCUUUAGAAACAAGGUUUCUUCAAAGUAAUUUCAGAUCAGCAAAAUAUAAACAAUACAAUUGAAAGGUCAUAAAUAAUU
rnacentral:misc_RNA from 1 species